GGUUCCUCCAGUGCAAAGGAAGGGCAGACAUGGUCCUGUCCUCAGGGGCUAAUCAGAGUGGGCAGUGUAGGAGUCCACCAUCUCAUGACACAUCCUGUGUUCCAGUGCCCCUGACCUCACCCACCAUCUUCCCACUGAGCCUUGCAAAGGCCGAGUCAGAAGAUGAAGUGAUUGUCGGCUGCCUGAUUCGGGAUUUCUUCCCCUCCGGACCUGUGAAUGUGACCUGGAGCAAGAGUGGGGAUCCUGUGGUCCUCAGAAACUUCCCGCCUGUCCUGGCCACAGAGGGCCUGUACAUCAUGAGCAGCCAACUGACCCUGCCUGCUGACCAGUGCCCAGAUGACAUGUCCCUGACAUGCUACGUGCAGCAUGACUCUAGCCCCACCCAGGAUGUGGCUGUACCUUGCAAAGAUCCAAAAGACUGUCUAAAUGACACAAAUUGCCAACCCAGCCUGUCACUGCAACGGCCAGACCUCGAAGACCUGCUCCUGCGCCCAGAUGAUGCCAGCCUCACAUGCACACUGAGUGGCCUGAAGAACCCUAGAGGAGCCACCUUCAACUGGCAGCCCUUGGGAGGGAAGGACCGCAAACCGAAGAGACCUAAGCGUGACUCCUGUGGCUGUUAUAGUGUGUCCAGUGUCCUGCCCGGUUGCGCUGAGCUCUGGAAAAGAGGGGAGACCUUCACGUGCACAGUCAGCCACCCUGAGCUAGAGGAGCCAAAAACUGCCACCAUUGCCAAGGCCACAGAGAACACCUUCCGGCCUCAGGUCCACCUGCUGCCGCCGCCACCGGAGGAGCUGCCCCUGAAUGAGCUGGUGUCGCUGACAUGCCUGGUACGGGGAUUCAACCCUCCAGAGGUGCUGGUGCGCUGGCUGCAGGGGACCGAGAAGGUGCCCCCCAACGACUAUGUGGUGUGGGGACCCCUGAGGGAGCCAAAUGAGGGCGCCAUCACCUACGUGGCAACCAGCAUACUGCGUGUGAAGACCGCAGACUGGAAGAAGGGUGAAAACUUCUCCUGCAUAGUGAUCCACGAGACCCUGCCCACUGGCUUAAUCCAGAAAACCAUUGACCGCCAUUCGGAAUGUCAAGAGAUGCUGCCCUGGGUGGUGCUGGACCAGCCACAAGAGAGCCUGGAGGAGGAGGCCCCUGGUGCCAGCCUGUGGCCCACCACCAUCACUUUCCUCACCCUCUUACUGCUGAGCCUGUUCUACAGCACAGCACUCACUGUGACAACUGUGAGAGGCCCAACUGGCAGCAAAGGGGACCCCCAGUACUGAGUAGAAGCCUACGAGGCACAGGGAGGAAGACUGGAGGAGCCUCUCUCCAUGUCAGAGCUGAGCCCUGUGUGACGACCACCUCACCCCACUCACAUGCCUUCCUGUGAAAUAAAUUUCUUCCAGAAGCAUACUUUCUCAGACUCUCAGAGGCAAAUGUUCUCAGAUGGGGGGAGGGAUUGAAGGGAGAGGAUAGUGACACCAUAGUGGAGCAUGCCUACAUCACAGAACAUCUGGGUGUCCCUUGUCUCGUGUCCAAGAUAUGACCUGGUCCUGCAGAGGGUUAAGGGCCAAAAUUGAAUUCUGGCUUCACCAAGAGAGGAUAUCCAGGAAAACUCUUCCUCAGAGCAGUGGCCAGCUCCCAAAACCUGAUCACUGAGCCCUAUCCUUGUCACUGGACACUGACUCUGAGGAUGGCUCCUGAAUACUAAGCCCUAGUCCUGAGCCUGGGACCUAAGCACUGAAGCUGGAUCCUGAUCACUAAGCCCUGGUUCUUAUCACAAAU